UCUGAAAGAAGAUCAAAAAGCUGUGCUAUACAAAAUUCUUCAAAGAGGUGUCUAUUGCUCUCAGGGUUAUGCUGGAGAAGCAGGACCUCAAGGAGUCAAAGGCAGGAAAGGAGAGAAGGGAAACAAAGGACAUGUUGGCCUGAUUGGAAUGACUGGAUUUAUUGGACCGCUUGGACCUAGAGGACAGCGAGGGUUUAUGGGACCACCUGGUUUUCCUGGAGAGCCAGGAGGGCCGGGGUUUGCAGGACCUCCAGGUCCAACAGGGCGUGCAGGACCUAGAGGGGCAAAAGGAGUGACUGGC
ensembl:lncRNA